rnacentral:rRNA from 1 species
GGACGACGUCAAGUCAUCAUGGCCCUUACGUGUAGGGCUACACACGUGCUACAAUGGCAUUUACAGAGGGAAGCGAGACAGUGAUGUGGAGCGGACCCCUUAAAGAAUGUCGUAGUCCGGAUUGGAGUCUGCAACUCGACUCCAUGAAGUCGGAAUCGCUAGUAAUCGCAGGUCAGAAUACUGCGGUGAAUACGUUCCCGGGCCUUGUACACACCGCCCGUCACACCAUGGGAGUGGGAUGCAAAAGAAGUAGUUAG